GGGGAUUUAGCUCAAUGGUUCUGUCACCUGCCUUGCAAGCAGAAGGACCUGAGUUCGAUUCCCAGUACCCCCC
rfam:Fukomys damarensis contig139947, whole genome shotgun sequence.